AGUGAGUGGCGGACGGGUGAGUAACACGUGGGUAACCUGCCCUAAAGUGGGGGAUAACAUUUGGAAACAGAUGCUAAUACCGCAUAAAACCUAACACCGCAUGGUGUAGGGUUGAAAGAUGGUUUCGGCUAUCACUUUAGGAUGGACCCGCGGUGCAUUAGUUAGUUGGUGAGGUAAAGGCUCACCAAGACCGUGAUGCAUAGCCGACCUGAGAGGGUAAUCGGCCACACUGGGACUGAGACACGGCCCAGACUCCUACGGGAGGCAGCAGUAGGGAAUCUUCCACAAUGGACGAAAGUCUGAUGGAGCAACGCCGCGUGAGUGAAGAAGGUUUUCGGAUCGUAAAACUCUGUUGUUGGAGAAGAAUGUAUCUGAUAGUAACUGAUCAGGUAGUGACGGUAUCCAACCAG
rnacentral:rRNA from 1 species